rnacentral:rRNA from 1 species
GGGUUGUGAGGUUAAGCGACUAAGCGUACACGGUGGAUGCCCUGGCAGUCAGAGGCGAUGAAGGGCGUGCUAAUCUGCGAUAAGCGCCGGUAAGGUGAUAUGAACCGUUAUAACCGGCGAUACCCGAAUGGGGAAACCCAGUGUGAUUCGUCACACUAUCAUUAACUGAAUCCAUAGGUUAAUGAGGCGAACCGGGGGAACUGAAACAUCUAAGUACCCCGAGGAAAAGAAAUCAACCGAGAUUCCCCCAGUAGCGGCGAGCGAACGGGGAGGAGCCCAGAGCCUGAAUCAGCAUGUGUGUUAGUGGAAGCGUCUGGAAAGGCGCGCGAUACAGGGUGACAGCCCCGUACACAAAAGCGCAUGUGCUGUGAGCUCGAUGAGUAGGGCGGGACACGUGGUAUCCUGUCUGAAUAUGGGGGGACCAUCCUCCAAGGCUAAAUACUCCUGACUGACCGAUAGUGAACCAGUACCGUGAGGGAAAGGCGAAAAGAACCCCGGCGAGGGGAGUGAAAAAGAACCUGAAACCGUGUACGUACAAGCAGUGGGAGCNNNNNNNNNNNNNNNNNNNNNNNNNNNNNGGCGUUAAGUUGCAGGGUAUAGACCCGAAACCCGGUGAUCUAGCCAUGGGCAGGUUGAAGGUUGGGUAACACUAACUGGAGGACCGAACCGACUAAUGUUGAAAAAUUAGCGGAUGACCUGUGGCUGGGGGUGAAAGGCCAAUCAAACCGGGAGAUAGCUGGUUCUCCCCGAAAGCUAUUUAGGUAGCGCCUCGUGAAUUCAUCUCCGGGGGUAGAGCACUGUUUCGGCUAGGGGGCCAUCCCGGCUUACCAACCCGAUGCAAACUGCGAAUACCGGAGAAUGUUAUCACGGGAGACACACGGCGGGUGCUAACGUCCGUCGUGAAGAGGGAAACAACCCAGACCGCCAGCUAAGGUCCCAAAGUCAUGGUUAAGUGGGAAACGAUGUGGGAAGGCCCAGACAGCCAGGAUGUUGGCUUAGAAGCAGCCAUCAUUUAAAGAAAGCGUAAUAGCUCACUGGUCGAGUCGGCCUGCGCGGAAGAUGUAACGGGGCUAAACCAUGCACCGAAGCUGCGGCAGCGACACUGUGUGUUGUUGGGUAGGGGAGCGUUCUGUAAGCCUGCGAAGGUGGCCUGUGAGGGUUGCUGGAGGUAUCAGAAGUGCGAAUGCUGACAUAAGUAACGAUAAAGCGGGUGAAAAGCCCGCUCGCCGGAAGACCAAGGGUUCCUGUCCAACGUUAAUCGGGGCAGGGUGAGUCGACCCCUAAGGCGAGGCCGAAAGGCGUAGUCGAUGGGAAACGGGUUAAUAUUCCCGUACUUGGUGUUACUGCGAAGGGGGGACGGAGAAGGCUAUGUUGGCCGGGCGACGGUUGUCCCGGUUUAAGCGUGUAGGUGUGUGUUCCAGGUAAAUCCGGUUCACUUUAACACUGAGGCGUGACGACGAGGCACUACGGUGCUGAAGCAACAAAUGCCCUGCUUCCAGGAAAAGCCUCUAAGCAUCAGGUAACAUCAAAUCGUACCCCAAACCGACACAGGUGGUCAGGUAGAGAAUACCAAGGCGCUUGAGAGAACUCGGGUGAAGGAACUAGGCAAAAUGGUGCCGUAACUUCGGGAGAAGGCACGCUGACACGUAGGUGAAGUGAUUUACUCAUGGAGCUGAAGUCAGUCGAAGAUACCAGCUGGCUGCAACUGUUUAUUAAAAACACAGCACUGUGCAAACACGAAAGUGGACGUAUACGGUGUGACGCCUGCCCGGUGCCGGAAGGUUAAUUGAUGGGGUCAGCGCAAGCGAAGCUCCUGAUCGAAGCCCCGGUAAACGGCGGCCGUAACUAUAACGGUCCUAAGGUAGCGAAAUUCCUUGUCGGGUAAGUUCCGACCUGCACGAAUGGCGUAAUGAUGGCCAGGCUGUCUCCACCCGAGACUCAGUGAAAUUGAACUCGCUGUGAAGAUGCAGUGUACCCGCGGCAAGACGGAAAGACCCCGUGAACCUUUACUAUAGCUUGACACUGAACAUUGAGCCUUGAUGUGUAGGAUAGGUGGGAGGCUUUGAAGUGUGGACGCCAGUCUGCAUGGAGCCGACCUUGAAAUACCACCCUUUAAUGUUUGAUGUUCUAACGUGGACCCGUUACCCGGGUUGCGGACAGUGUCUGGUGGGUAGUUUGACUGGGGCGGUCUCCUCCUAAAGAGUAACGGAGGAGCACGAAGGUUGGCUAAUCCUGGUCGGACAUCAGGAGGUUAGUGCAAUGGCAUAAGCCAGCUUGACUGCGAGCGUGACGGCGCGAGCAGGUGCGAAAGCAGGUCAUAGUGAUCCGGUGGUUCUGAAUGGAAGGGCCAUCGCUCAACGGAUAAAAGGUACUCCGGGGAUAACAGGCUGAUACCGCCCAAGAGUUCAUAUCGACGGCGGUGUUUGGCACCUCGAUGUCGGCUCAUCACAUCCUGGGGCUGAAGUAGGUCCCAAGGGUAUGGCUGUUCGCCAUUUAAAGUGGUACGCGAGCUGGGUUUAGAACGUCGUGAGACAGUUCGGUCCCUAUCUGCCGUGGGCGCUGGAGAACUGAGGGGGGCUGCUCCUAGUACGAGAGGACCGGAGUGGACGCAUCACUGGUGUUCGGGUUGUCAUGCCAAUGGCACUGCCCGGUAGCUAAAUGCGGAAGAGAUAAGUGCUGAAAGCAUCUAAGCACGAAACUUGCCCCGAGAUGAGUUCUCCCUGAGACUUAAAGUCUCCUGAAGGAACGUUGAAGACGACGACGUUGAUAGGCCGGGUGUGUAAGCGCAGCGAUGCGUUGAGCUAACCGGUACUAAUGAACCGUGAGGCUUAACCUUACAACGCCGAAG